UGGCUGCCUUUCUAAAGUGGUAUCAUUUGCACUGCUGCUGUAAUCUUCUGCAGUGAGAGGGCCAAUACUGGAGAUGCUGAACUGCUGAACCCCUAUAGCCACCUCAAGAGGAUCUCUUCAGACUGAACUAACUCAUUAAACAUCUUUGCCUGAUUCUCCAUCCCUGACAGGUCUGGACCUAAUUGAGCAUAAUGAUUACACAUGACAACUAGCAGGAUAUCAGUCAGCUAUUUCAG
rnacentral:lncRNA from 1 species